CAGUCGAACGGACUCAUAUUGAAACCUAGUGAUUUAUGAGUUAGUGGCGGACGGGUGAGUAACGCGUGGAUAACCUGCCGUAUACCGGGGGAUAACACUUAGAAAUAGGUGCUAAUACCGCAUAAGCGCACGGCUCCGCAUGGGGCAGUGUGAAAAACUCCGGUGGUAUACGAUGGAUCCGCGUCUGAUUAGCUAGUUGGCGGGGUAACGGCCCACCAAGGCAGCGAUCAGUAGCCGGCCUGAGAGGGUGGACGGCCACAUUGGGACUGAGACACGGCCCAAACUCCUACGGGAGGCAGCAGUGGGGAAUAUUGCACAAUGGGGGAAACCCUGAUGCAGCGACGCCGCGUGAGUGAAGAAGUAUCUCGGUACGUAAAGCUCUAUCAGCAGGGAAGAAAAUGACGGUACCUGACUAAGAAGCCCCGGCUAACUACGUGCCAGCAGCCGCGGUAAUACGUAGGGGGCAAGCGUUAUCCGGAUUUACUGGGUGUAAAGGGAGCGUAGACGGCAGCACAAGUCUGGAGUGAAAUCCCGGGGCUUAACCCCGGAACUGCUUUGGAAACUGUGCGGCUGGAGUGCAGGAGGGGUAAGCGGAAUUCCUAGUGUAGCGGUGAAAUGCGUAGAUAUUAGGAGGAACACCGGUGGCGAAGGCGGCUUACUGGACUGUAACUGACGUUGAGGCUCGAAAGCGUGGGGAGCAAACAGGAUUAGAUACCCUGGUAGUCCACGCCGUAAACGAUGAUUACUAGGUGUCGGGGGACCAAGGUCCUCCGGUGCCGGCGCAAACGCAUUAAGUAAUCCACCU
rnacentral:rRNA from 1 species